GGUGGUAGUCAACUCUGGUACGGCUGGUAUUUUGUGACAACAAAUGAUACGCCAAUUGCUGAAUAUGGGACUUUUUAAGAAGGAAAGGUAGAAGAAAGAUGCGUUGCGGUGUCGCAUCGAAUGAAACCCAUUCACAGUGCAGCCUGAAGUUCCCUGCAUUUCGUUACCUCGGUGCCACGAUGACUUCAAACGUCUCCUUGGUUUUGUGAAUUGAAGACGUAAUCCAAUAAUGAAACCAUAGCCUGACUACGUGUCUUGGAGCUCCACACCUCGUGUUGAGGCUGAAGAGACACACUGAAUGCGACCAUAAAGGUUCGCGGGCGAGGAUUUGAUUGGCCGAUGUAAGUGACCUUCACAUUUCAUUGUGUGCAAGCUCUGAACAGCGCUGCAUCGGUUAUGUGCAGUCGAAAGACUUCGACUCUGAGUGUAUAGCUGGCUAUCACGGUAUUCAUGACAUAUGUUGUGAAACAGAGACAUGUUAAGGUGGGGUUGGCGUUAAUCAGUUCAGGUAGAUGAAUAUCGGAUGUCAGCUUCAUGGAUUCGCGUAUCCCUCUCCGAAUGUUUCCCCCUCGCAUCCCUGUGCGGAGAUAAGACAGAAUACGUACGCCGUGUCUUUACAAGAAUAUCUGUUAUGUUUCUAUAGAAACAGGAUUAAUACGCACAUUGAAGAGUGGUAUUUAAAACGUUAAAUACCACAAAAUUCACAGCUAUUUUAUAUAUUUAAUUACGUAAAUUAUGUUUUUCACUUCUCUCUAUGCUGUUUAUACAGGAUUCAAUAUAUUUGCCGUAACACCUCAAGUGAGUAUAAUCCAACCAAGUAUUAGUACUAAAUUGUGGCUUCGGUCAAGCAUACUUACCUGGUACGGGAGGUUACCGUGAUCCGCAAGGCGGUCCUCCCAGGGCGAGGCCUUUCCAUUGCACCUCGGUUUGGCUGACCCCUGCGAUCACCCCAAAUGCGGGUGACUCGAGUACGUAAUUUAUAUGUGUGGGGGUCUGCGUCCGCGCUAACCCCUGAAAAACUCAAUUCAAGAACAGAAAACCCAGCUAAACCUGGAUAAUAGGAAAGAAGUUAGCGGGGAGGGUAGAAAGUUAGUUCAUGUAGAAUUGUUUUAUUUCAGUAGGUUUUCACACACGUUUUCGUAUAUUUGGAUGACCUGUGUGUUAUGUAUAUUCGUGUUUAUGUAUGACUAAAAAAAACCAAUAUUGUUAUUUGUUUACAUACUCAUGUUAUUCUUCACAUGUAUGGUAAUUGUUACUUUUAAUGUUUCACCUUCAAUAUGUAAUUCUGUACCAUGUUUCAUGUUUAGUCUUGCGCGACAACGGUAUAACGAUCUGUAGCCGAAAUAAUGCUUUUACAGUAUAAUAAAGAAGUUGUUAUCUAUAAACCUGUGUCUUUGUCAUCAAUUUCAGGUUUUGAAAAUUAAAACGAUUUUGUCACAUA